rnacentral:rRNA from 1 species
GAUGAACGCUGGCGGCGUGCCUAGUACAUGCAAAUCGAGCGAACGGACGAGAAGCUUGCUUUUCUGAUGUUAGCGGCGGACGGGUGAGUAACACGUGGAUAACCUACCUAUAAGACUGGGAUAACUUCGGGAAACCGGAGCUAAUACCGGAUAAUAUUUUGAACCGCAUGGUUCAAAAGUGAAAGACGGUCUUGCUGUCACUUAUAGAUGGAUCCGCGCUGCAUUAGCUAGUUGGUAAGGUAACGGCUUACCAAGGCAACGAUGCAUAGCCGACCUGAGAGGGUGAUCGGCCACACUGGAACUGAGACACGGUCCAGACUCCUACGGGAGGCAGCAGUAGGGAAUCUUCCGCAAUGGGCGAAAGCCUGACGGAGCAACGCCGCGUGAGUGAUGAAGGUCUUCGGAUCGUAAAACUCUGUUAUUAGGGAAGAACAUAUGUGUAAGUAACUGUGCACAUCUUGACGGUACCUAAUCAGAAAGCCACGGCUAACUACGUG